rnacentral:rRNA from 1 species
AUACGUAGGGGGCGAGCGUUGUCCGGAAUGAUUGGGCGUAAAGGGCGCGUAGGCGGCGCGGUAAGUCUGGAGUGAAAGUCCUGCUUUCAAGGUGGGAAUUGCUUUGGAUACUGCCGCGCUUGAGUGCAGGAGAGGUUAUCGGAAUUCCCGGUGUAGCGGUGAAAUGCGUAGAGAUCGGGAGGAACACCAGUGGCGAAGGCGGGUAACUGGACUGCAACUGACGCUGAGGCGCGAAAGUGUGGGGAGCAAACAGGAUUAGAUACCCUGGUAGUCCACACUGUAAACGAUGAAUGCUAGGUGUAAGAGGUAUCGACCCCUUUUGUGCCGGAGUCAACACAAUAAGCAUUCCGCCUGGGGAGUACGGCCGCAAGAUUGAAACUCAAAGGAAUUGGCGGGG